rnacentral:rRNA from 1 species
AGAGUUUGAUCCUGGCUCAGGAUGAACGCUAGCUACAGGCCUAGCACAUGCAAGUCGAGGGGAAACGACAUCGAAAGCUUGCUUUUGAUGGGCGUCGACCGGCGCACGGGUGAGUAACGCGUAUCCAACCUGCCCACCACUUGGGGAUAACCUUGCGAAAGUAAGACUAAUACCCAAUGACGUCUCUAGAAGACAUCUGAAAGAGAUUAAAGAUUUAUCGGUGAUGGAUGGGGAUGCGUCUGAUUAGCUUGUUGGCGGGGUAACGGCCGCAAGGCUACGAUCAGUAGGGGUUCUGAGAGGAAGGUCCCCCANAUUGGAACUGAGACACGGUCCAAACUCCUACGGGAGGCA